AUUUGUUCCCAAAUUUAAAGCGGGGCUUAAGAGGAAGGAAAUUUUCAAACGAUGAAGAGUUGCAGGCGGCCGACUUUAGUCAUUUUGAAGACAAAAAUUGAAGUCACUUUUAUGAAGGUUUAGAGAUGUUAGUCCUCAGAAGUCAAAAGUGUGUUUAUAUUAGUGGAGAUUAUAUAGAAAAAUAAAAUUGGUUUCAUCUCAUUUUGUUGACUAUUUCAUAGCUAGGCCAAUUCAUUAUGGGACCGCCUAGGUAUGUCCUUUGCAGCUAUGCUGUGAGGAGGUCCAAAGCUACGAAACUAUGUGACCGUUUCCACUAAUGCUAGUGGUGUAGCGGAGCGGGUAAGAUGUGCUAU